CCAAGUGAGAACAAUCACGAACAGAUGACAAACCACAGAUGGAGGGCUCAGUGGCCAAGCAUCCUUAGGACUGGGACCAGAGUAGGUGUCUCUUACAGUUAGGGUGAACUCAGCAAAACCCAGGAGGAGUGAAGCAGAUCUAGUGACUCAAUGGUGAAGACUGUAUCUGGUAUCUUGGCUGAGGCACACCCACUGACAGAGGCUACCACCAUACCCAGAGGCAAAGGGUAAGGAGAGUUGAGGCCUGGUACAGAGUGCUUGGGGUUUUUGAACCUUGUGUUCUCAGGGUAGAGGUGUAGCCUGAACUGGGCUUUUCCAGAGGACCCAGGUAUGAGCCAAGGCCAGCUUGUGAUAGAGCCAUCACACAAAGACAAGAGACACUUGGAAUAACAACCACAUAGUUCUGACUUGACAUACUGGGUCUACACACACUUACCUUCUCCAAACACCAGUGGUUCUAUUUUCAGCUGGCUUCCAACUACCUUUUUGGCAUAUCCCUUCCAGGUGGUAGGUUCCCACUGCCUUGAUUCUGCCUACCUGUAGGGCCUAUUACAGCUCUAAAGCUAGGCUAGUUGGAAGCCCAGGGCCCUAUAUGCAGGUGGUCUGAUACUUGCUGGCCCUUGAGUUCAGGGACAUGGAACCAACCUAGAAGGCAAGGGACUUGGACCCAGGCUCCCCGCCUCCCCUUGAGACAGGGUUUCUCUGUGUAGCCCUGGAUAUCCUGGAACUUACUCUGUAGACUAGGCUGGCUUUGAACUCAGAGAUCUGCCUGCCUCUGCCUCCUGAGUACUAGGAUUAAAGGUGUGCGCCACUACUGUCCAGCUAGACAAAGGCUCUUGAGUUGACUUAUUUCAUGCUAUUUUCUUUUGUUCCUUUUCAUGUCAUUUUUAAUGAAGCCACUGCAGUGAUUGCUGGCUGAGGUGCUAUUAAAGCAUUGAGGAACUUCCCAUCUGUGGUUCUUAAGGAAACUUCCUAUAGAAACAGUAAGAUAAUAUCCUGGCUUUCCAGUGGUAGGGUAACAUGAAGUUCUACAAAUGCACACUAUUCAUUACAUCUGACAACUGACUACCAGUCCCUCCACAGCAAAGUCAUCCGGACCGCGAUGCUUCUGGCUGACUCAGCUCUGAGAAGCUGGACAGUGGAGACUAGCCCAUGGGCUCCAGCUGAGAGGCAAUCUCAAGAAGAUGGCUAUGUAAAGAAAAGAAAUUUUAUAAAAAGCUCCAAAUCCCACUGAUCUGUCUGUGCCUUCCCAGUUGAGAGACUGUGAAUGCCCCUCAGCCCUGUGGGCAACCUCCAGACAUGACUCUGCAAAGGACAGAAGGAACACCACUCUGACAUCAACUCACUCAGAAAGUCUGUCUGUUUCAUGUCUGUUCUACACUAGGCAGAGGGUUGGAACUGCUUGCCUCAGACUAUGUUCUCUCACCUCAGGAAGCCUGGCUCAUGAGACCAACUGUGCAUCCACAUGUGCUGCCUUGAUCCAUACUGGGCUGGGAUGGAGGACAUCAUCCUGAAGGCCUAAGGGCUCUGGUGAGGACUUACAUGCAAGUCGUGGUGGUCCCUCGUGUGUUCUAACAAAGGAGUACUGCGCACUAAUUUUCUUCAAUCAGCUGUCUCACUUUCCUAUGUCCUAGGCAGCCAAUCCCUUGGUGGGACAGGGUGAUGUUAACUUUCAUGAAUACAUUUAAAUACCACGAGGGCUUGUCUGCUCAUGGAGCUUUUGAACUACUUCAGUUGAACAGGGAAAUUGGGUCCUAGUGCCACUGGAUUACAAAUCUAUUUCCCAGGCCUAAUCAGCUUUUUGACCAGCAGGGGGAGCCACGGACUUACAAGAAUUUCAACUGUACUUUGCAGCCACUGGUCUCAGAGAUUCCAGUUACAGGAACCAUACAGCAUAGCGCAUCAAUGAGUAUGUCAAGGAAGGUCAAUGGUCUUAUGAUCAAGGAGGAAGGGGAUUCCAUUCAAGCUUUUCCCUCACUAGUAACAAGGAACAUUAAUGAACGAACAGACCCCUCACUGCCUUGUUUAUCAAGAAUGCAUCCAUUAUUACAUUGCCACAUAUACUUGAAAACAUCAGUCUUACCCCUAUGAUUUUGUAGAGUUCUUUUUUUUUAAAUUUAUUUAUUUAUUAUGUAUACAGUGUUCUGCCUGCAUGUUUGCCUGCAGGCCAGAAGAGGGCACCAGAUCUCAUUACAGAUGGUUGAGAGCCACCAUGUGGGUGCUGGGAAUUGAACUCAGGACCUCUGAAACAGCAGCCAGUGCUCUUAUUAUAACAGCUCAGAGAUGCUGAGCCAUCUCUCCAGCCCCUUGUAUAGUUCUUAAAAAACAAACAAACAAACAAACAACUAUUUAUUUUAAAAACUAUUACUACUCUACACUGUGUGUGAGUGGAGGUCAGGGAACAACUUCUGGGAGUCCAUUUUUUCCUUCCACUGUGGGUACUGGGGGUUGAAUUCAGGUAAUGCAGGCCUGUGUGACAAGUGCUUUUACCCACUGAACCAUCUCACUGGCCCCACACAGUUUGUCUUCCCCAACAGGUCCAACACUGUGCCUGACAGACAUCUGGGCAUGCAACUCUUUCCAGAUUGACUGCUAUAUAGACUCUAUGAAUGCUGUAGUCCAAGUGUAGUCCAAAGUCCAAGUGUAGUCCAAAGCUUCCUUUCUUUCUUACUGUUUCUGCCCUUGCUAUUAGUUCCCUGAUUUGGGCCAAGUUCUAUUUAACGAUUUUGUUGAUUUAUACAAUUAAUGCCUCAGAGGGGGGAAGAGGCUUUUCUUAACUUUCCUCUGUGUAACAGUUUGGAAUUCAGCCAUUAUGAGGGUUUGUCUCUAAAAAUGGUGAUCAUCAAUGACUUCCUUUCUCAACUAUAUGUUCCACUCCUCAUAGAACAUCCUGUUAAUUCAGAGUUCUAAGAAAUAACUGUUUUAAGAUAUCUAAAUUUUGAGAACACUUUAUAUUAUGCAGCAUCAGACAACAAAGACAUUAGAAAGAAAAAGAUACCCAGGAGAAAUUUUCCUCUGUUUUACUCUGAUGUGCUCAUUAGAAAAGAGCCAUGCAGAUUCUCCACUGAGCACUCAAUAAAAGCUUAUGAGGGACCAAAUCAGUUACUAGUUUGCUAGAAGGACAAAUGGAUGGUGUAAUAUGGCUAAUCUUAUUGUUAUUGGAUUUAGGAUCACCUAUAAGUCAGGCUUCUGGGUGUAGAGAGGUCUGAGGAGGGAAGACCCAGCCCAUGGGCCAGAGACCUAAGCUGAAUAAACAGAAAAACAGGAGGAAGCCAGUGAGUGACCAGCUGCCUUAUACUCCUGCUGCAAUACUUUCAGACUGUGAGCCAAAAUAAACCCUUCCUCAAGUUGCUUGUCAGGUAUUUAGUCAUAGCAGUGAGAAAAGUAACCAAUACAGGCGGUAACAGCUAGCCUGGAAUGUCUCUAAUAGCAGCCACAGCACAGAGGAAUAUCAAACAGUCUCAGGGCUGGAGAGAUUGCUCAGUGGUUAAGAACACCUGUUGCUCUUCAGAAAACCUGAGUUUGGUUCCUAGCAACGCCAUCAAGCAGCUCACAACAGUCUGUAACUCCAAUUCCAGGGAAUCUGAUAGUAUCAGAGUAAUACUGAGUUAAAAUAUCCAUCAUUUGAUGCCUUCUGUUUAUCAAUAAUCAUGAAUCUGCAAGAAUAACCAGAUAAAUCUGGGAGGUGGUAGAGCGUGUCUUUAAUCCCAGCACUUGGGAAGCAGAGGCAGGCAGAUCUCUUUGAGUUCAAGGCCAGCCUGGUCUAAAGAGUGAGUUCCAGGACAGCCAGGACUAAACAGAGAAACCCUCCCUCAAAAAACAAAAACAAACAAACAAAAAGUCAGAAAAAAAGGAAUAGCCAGAUAAAGUCUUAGAUAUGGCUGAGCAUAUCUCAGAGACUUCAGGUUAAGGAAUACAACAACAAUUCCUAGAUGGUAUUAUGGAAUUUGUAUCUGCAGGUCUAAUCAGGGCACUUACACAAGACACUGGAAAUACCAAUGUCUAGACAUUCCCAGCUAUUUUGUGGGCUUUUCUUCCGUUCUAUUCCCAAAGCCCUCUUUUCAUAAUACACAGUCCUGUCUCAGUUUGCAGCCUUCAUAGAUUGUGUUCCCUAAAGUUGGCCCCUCUUGUCUGGAUCCCAUAGUUCACAUUAGGAAAGCAAUAUGUGCUAUGGGAUGUUCUGUAUGGCAAAAGUGUUGCUGAUUGGUCAAUAAAUAAAUCACUGAUUGGCCAGUGGCCAGGCAGGAAGUAUAGGCAGGACAAGGAGGAGAAUAAAGCUGGGAAGUAGAAGGCUGAGUGAGAGACACUGCCAGCCGCCAUGAUGACAAACAGCAUGUGAAGAUGCUGGUAAGCCACGAGCCACAUGGCAGGGUAUAGAUUUACAGAAAUGGAUUAAUUUAAGAUGUAAGAACUAGAUAGUUAGAAGUCUGAGCCAUUAGGCCAAACAGUUUAAACAAUGUAAGUCUCUCUGUUUACUUGGUUGGGUCUGAGUGGCUGUGGGACUGGCAGGUGAGAGAGAUUUGUCCUGACUGUGGGCCAGGCAGGAAAACUCUAGCUACAAAUAUGGGUAGUAGAAUAAGCAGACUGAGGGCUGCUAACUGUAAAGAGCUGUACCCCAUAUUCAGCAUUCAAUUCCUCACUGAACCUAUGGACAGUCAAAAGGUGCUUUAAAUUGAAGCCUGUGACUGCUCUACUGCAGCCUCACUCACUUCCCUCCACGUUGCCAAUGUUUUCCCUACCUGGCCACUGCAUCUUUCCACCAGGCCACAUUACAUUGAUUCUUUCCAUCUUGUCUACUGUGGGCCUCACAGACUUGUAUACUUUGGAGAGAGUUGGGCUUUGUUCUUUGUAUACAAAAUAAUCAGAACAAAAAGAACCUAUUCUUCUGAAGCCUGAAAUCAAUAGCCAGUGAGUGGUUGACAGGCUCAGACCACUGUGUGCAUGGCAAAUAUUUCAGUGGGAAAGAACUGAGAUUUUCCUGGAUCAUGUCUUUUACUGAGUAGAGAUGCAAUACUGGCUACCAAGUAGCAGCACAGCAGCGGAUCCUGCCAGAGCAGGAGUUAAAGUCAGCUAGAGAGGUGACCCAAACCUUCAAGUAUGGGUGCUGAAAGACAAGCAUUCUCUAACACAAUGAUAGGGGUUGCUAGGCAGGAAGAGAGAGAAUGAACAGUCUCUCAGCAGCCAUCAACUUUGCAGGCAUCAUUUAAGGCAUAUAAAUAUCAAUGUCAGAGUCUUCUCUGACAAAUACCAUGAUCAGUGGGUAAGUAAUACCCUGGUAGAUACAGAAUUAAAGACUACUAAAAGGAGACCAAUUUUACACACUAUAUGGGAAAAUCUCCAUGAUGCUUAUAACAUUUCCAAGUGCUGGCCUCCCAUGGAUACAUUAAAAAUAAACAAUUCUGACCCUUCAGUAAAUGAUGAAGAUCCACAAACUGGUUAUAACUGAGGUUAGAGCUAAAUCAGUGGCAAGGGGUCCAAACUGGCCUCAACCAAACAGAAGGUAAAUUGACAGCGAUGUAUGCUGUUGUUUACUCAUUACUGGCUCAAAGCUAAGAAAUCUAGAAGGUAAAACAGAAAACAGUUAAUUCAGGUAGUUAUUACUUCUAUCUUGGGUGUGCCCUAAAUUCUCGGCUACCCAGAACCAUUUUUAGCUAACCACAAGGCUAAACCAAACUCAAAUAUUUCCUCGUUAGUGGGCCCAGAAGGUGGAACACUGCUCUUACAUGCAAGGCCUAUGUCACUCUUUAGGAAGGCAAUUUUGCUCCCCAUCAAUAAGAACUACACAAGCAGGCAAAGCAUGGUGGCACUCUUUUAAUUCCAGCUUUUGGGAGGCAGAGGCAGGUGGAUCUCUGUGAUUUUGAACCAACCUGUUCUACACAUUGAGUUCCAGGCUAGCUAGGGCUAUAUAGUGAGAAUCUAUCUCAAAACAAAAUCCAAAAUAAAAAACACCCCCCACAUACUCCAAAAAGGCUCUGGACACUCAGUUCUCUCUUGUCCUCACCUUGUUUUCCAACGCAUCUUUGUUACUUUUCAUUCUAUUAAAGAUAUAACUUUUUUUCUCUUCUCUUUCCAUCUCCCUUUUCUGGACAGCUACUCAAUCCUAAACCUACUUCUCUGAUACUCUGGGCAUGUCCUCUCCUAGUAAUCCUGUCCCAAUGAUUUCCACUCCUCACUACAGCUUCUUGUAGAUUUUCACUGCUGAACCUACCUGCUUUCUUGACUUCUAACUGAGAAAGAGUAACUUUCUCUUUCCCCCUUCCACCUCUCUCCUUCAGGCAGCUGAUGGGAACUCCAGCUUGCUUGCCCUGUUAUUUUCUCGAAUUCUAAUAAAAUUGUCUUUGAUUUUUCU